rnacentral:rRNA from 1 species
CGUGUAGGCGGCCUUUUAAGUCAGACGUGAAAUCCAUGGGCUUAACCCAUGAAUUGCGUUUGAAACUGGAGGGCUUGAGGAUCGGAGAGGGCAGUGGAAUUCCCAGUGUAGCGGUGAAAUGCGUAGAUAUUGGGAGGAACACCAGUGGCGAAGGCGACUGCCUGGACGACACCUGACGCUGAGGCGCGAAAGCUAGGGGAGCAAACGGGAUUAGAUACCCCGGUAGUCCUAGCCGUAAACGAUGGGUACUAGGUGUGGGAGGUAUCGACCCCUUCCGUGCCGCAGUUAACACAAUAAGUACCCCGCCUGGGGAGUACGGCCGCAAGGUUGAA